GCGACCCCAUGUCAGGCGGGAUUACCCGCUGAGUU
rnacentral:rRNA from 1 species